CCCGGCUGCACCUACUCUUAGAGAAUUCUCAGGCCCCACGCCUUACCCCAACUUCUGUUACCAGUGGUGAAUCCAAUGGGUCUGCAGCAAACUUGAUGCUUGCCUUCUCAAAGACAGAACUCAGCUGAGGGGCAGAGGUGGUUUUAAGUGGUUUUAAGGCACAGGGAGAGACCAAGGCAAGUUUUAGAGCAGGAGUGAGAGUUUAUUAAAAAGUUUUAGAGCAGGAACAAAAGGAAGUACACUACACUUGGGUCAGGCAGGCAACUUGAGAGAUCUAAGUGCCCUGCCUGACCCUUAACUUGGGGUUUUAUGUAUUUGGCAUAGUUCUGGGAUUUACGUCUCAUCUCCCCUGAUUCUUCCCUUGCAGCAGGCUGUCCGCGUAUGUGGUGACCUGCCAGCACUUGGAAGGGGUCGCAUGCACAGUGUGAUUACUGAAGUUGCGCGCAUGCUCACUUGAGGCAUUUUUCCCCUUACCAGUCGUGCGUUCCCAGAGGAAGGUAGGUCAUAUACUGGUUAAAUUCCGCCAUUUUGCCUCUUGGUGCGCAUGCUCCAGGCUGCUUGCCCAGCUCCUGAGAUCUUAUCGGGAAGCGGCUGAUCACCAGAUCAGGGUGUUUUGUAUCUAUUGAGAGACUGUCCUUGCUUGGAGCUGGCUGCAACCAAUUAUUAUUUUACAGAGACAGUUUAACAACCACCUGACCAUCACCUGAUGGUAGCCUGACAUUCCUGUGGGGGCCCUCACCUGUCCUGCUCAUGUUUGCCUAGCUCCCUACUCUAACAUUUCCACUCUGUGGACCCCAGGUUGAGAUCUUCUGCAGGGAAGACUGUCCUCAAAUAGCCUGCUGGGGAGACAUCUCCUUCCCGUUUACCUUUCCAUUUGCCCUUGCGGUGUUAGGCAAAGGCUGAAGCUGGCCUCUGUGGCAGAGGGUUUCUUCCCAACACGCCAAUGACGCUGGUGGAGAGUCUUAAAAACAGCUGUGCUGGGGAGAGUUCUUGGUGUGUACCUUUCAGAGACCUCCUCCUUAAGACUCUCAAAGACUGAGUCAGGCCAGUGGGAGCCUGGCAGCAAUUCUUAGGGGACAGUGACAGCUUUUUGAGGAGGACUAAUUGGCUUCUAGGGCUGGAGGCCACUUGGGUCUGACAGACUGCCCUGCUGCCAUCCCUCCAGGGCACCCCCCACUCCCUUGCCUCAGGGCCUUCCUGCACUUCUUCCUUUUGUCCUCAAUGUUCUUCACCCCACCUUUUCCACUGGUACCCUCUGCCUAUGGUCAAGGCUUUGGUGAGACCCACUUUCCUCUUAGACCUUCCUGGAUCCCCCAAAGUCUGUGUUGGAAGCCCCUCCCAUGUGCCCUUGUUUGAGCUUUUAAUUUUCCACCAUGACGCUUGUCACACUGCUUUGUAAUUGGCUCUCUGUUAGUCUGCAUCUCUACUGGGUUGUACCUUCCAGGAGGACAGCUGCCAUGUGACUCUUGUAAUCUUCCCACCGCCAACACCCAGCACAGCGUCAGGAACACAGAGCAUGAUGAGCACAAGCUUGUUGAGCAAACAGACAAAUAACUGGAUGCUUCUGUGCAGAGUUUCUCAACCUGGCCAUUAUUGGCAUUUGGGACUUGAUCAUGCUUGGUCGUGGGAGACGGUUCUGUGCCUGUAGGAUGUUUAGGAGCAUGCUUGGUUUCUACCCACCAGAUGCCGGGAGCACACCCACCCAGCUGUGACAACCAAAAAUGUCUCCAGACACCAUUCCAAAACCAGCGGGAGACAAAAUCGCCCGACAGUCGUUGCUUUAGUGAGUGAAUGUUGACCUAAGCGUCACUUCGCCUGUCUUGAGUCUAGGUCGGGGAGUGGGUUCAGUUAGCCAAUCAGAGAACGCUGAUGGGGCGACCAGUAUAUGCUCAUGAAAUGGGUGGCUGACCUCUUGGGGUCAGAAGAGGGAAAAGUUUUACUGUGUGUUGGCUAAGGACCAUUUUAAGUCCUUCAGUGACCGAUUACCACAUGAGAACACAAGAGGGCGCUCUAACUAAUGAGUUCCGCGGCCGAGAAAACUCCUGGAGUGGGUGCUCCUGGGAUGCUUCAGGUUUAGACACCGGGGUUACGGCAGCUGCCGAGGAAGGCUAAAGCCAGCGUCCUGGAUUCAGACAGACCUUUUAGCCAUUAAAUCCACUAAGAAAGAUCCCUGCGCAUGAAGUUUCCUCCUCGGAAAUAUAGGCAGAAGGGAAAGUAAUUUUAAACUCAUGUGUGCUCCACAGGCCGGGGGCGGUGGCUCAUGCCUGCAAUCCCAGCACUUUGCGAGGCCAAGGAGGGAGGAUCACUUGAGCCCAGAAGUUCGAGACCAGCCUGGGCACCAUGGUGAAACCUCAUCUCUGCAAAAAAAAAAUUAAAAAUUAGCCAGCUAUGGCGGCUCACGCCUCUGGUCCCAGCUACCCAGGAAGCUGAGAUGGGAGGAUCGCUUGAGCCCAGGGGUUCGAGGCUGCGGUGAGCCAUUGUUGUGCCACUGCACUCCAGCCUGGGCAACAGAGCAAGCCCCUGUCUCAACAAAACAAAACAAAACAAAAAAUUCAGUCGUGCUGCAUAAGUAAGGCACCAGGAGUAGGAAUAGGGUCUUUGCAGCUCCCGUGGCAAUUGCCCUUCUCUGGUGGUGGCAAGGGACUAAGGAACUCCCUGGACACAGGGGAUCUGGCUGUCCCCAGAUCAUCAACAGAGACAUGAAGGUCGUUAGAGGUCGUCUGAUCCUUUGACCUCAAUCUGAGCCCACCACUCAGAAAACCUGGAAAUUGUAUGACAUUUUCGUGAUACAACUCGGUGUGUGUGUGUUGGGGAAAGGAACCAACAGCUUUCAUCAUAUUGUCAAAAGAGUCUAGGCUGGGCGUGGUUCUCAUCUGUGAAAUUCCACAGCGCAAUGACAGCAGCCUCUCUCCCACCCACUCAAGACACUGUCAGGAAUGUCUUAAGACCUCAGGAGACCACUUCUUUAGCAAGCAAUUUUGUUUUUUGUUUUUUUUGAGAUGGAUUCUCACUCUGUCACUCAGGCUGGAGUGCAGUGGCGCGAUCUCCGCUCACUACAACCUCCGUUUCCUGGGUUCAAGCGAUAAUCUCACCUCAGCCUCUUGAGUAGCUGAUACUACAGGCAUGCGCCACCACGCCCGGCUAAUUCUUGUAUUUUUAGUAGAGACAGGGUUUCAUCAGGCUGGUCUCAAACUCCUGACCUCAGGUGAUCCGCCCACCUCAGCCUCCUGAAGUGCUGGGAUUACAGGCGUGAGCCACCUUGCCUGCCCUGGCAAGGAAUACAUUUUUAAAAAUUAGUAAGAAACAUACACAUUUCAAGUUUUCAAUUAAGAAUAAUAUUUGCUGAUGGCACCAUCUUCCUGUCUUUCAGCCUUCAGCAUGGUAGAGGAAAAGAGAAAGAGUGUAGACAAAAACAGUUGAAGAACAUCUGUGCUUGUUCCACCUUCAUUUUCUGUUUUGUGCGUUGCCUGAAUGAACGGUGUCUUCAGGUUGGUAUUUCACAGGCGGUGCUCCCAAGUAGUCUGGUUUUCCCAUUUGUGGAGGGCGAGGUCAUAGAGGGGACAGGGGGAGGCUGUCUGGUCAGCACUGUGUAUUUCCAAAGAACAAGGACUAGCCAAAACUACAAGCCUUUGAAGGACCAAAGGAAAAGAGAAAAAACCAGCCUCUAACCAGGCCAUGCGCUAGAAAUGAUUGAGUAUAAAAAAGAAAAUUGGUUUCUGUGUAUGAGGGUGCAUGGAAAAGGUCUUUAUCUCUGCACAAAACAAAAUAUUCAAGUUUCAGAAUAUCCCAAUGGCCUUGCCCUGGAUCUCCUCUUGUGCUCUUCCAAUUUCCAAGGAUGUUCCAACUUGGUGGAAGGAGGGUAUGUGGGAAAUUCAACAGCCCCUCUGUAUCUCUUUCUACCCAACAUUAACUUAGCAGGAUGGAUUUAAGAACCGGCAGCUUAGCCUGAGGAAUUGCUGUGUUCUGUGGGAGCAGGGCAGGUUCAUAAAUAAGUGCACAGAGGUCUUGAAAUACAGGGAUUAUCUGUUCUUCUCGGAACAUGGAUGUCCUUCCAGGGAUGUGCAUCUGGCCUUGCUGUCUAAGUUCCAUCAAGGGAGCCUUCCGUUCUCUGUAGCGACAAGAAACAAGGCAAGUUAUGAUCACACCUCUCAAGAUUGAAGAUUGCCCUGGUGGAGAGAAAUGCAAAAUGACAGCACUUCUCAAAGAAAAUGCAAAGCAGGGCUGUCACACACUGGUCCCCCACCCUGCAGGGUUCUCUCUGUGACUUCAGAGGCCCAAGGAGUCCUCAGCACUACAGAUACACGUGGCCCCUCAGAAGACAACAUUUCACAGAUCUGCAAAGAAUAAAGGUCAAAUUUACUUAAUACAACACCCACCAGGGUUCCUGCAGCUGUGUCACUGAGGCAAACAGGGAAAGUAAUUUUGGUUAGGUGUGGUUCUCACCUCUGAAAUUCCACAGCACAAUGACUGCAGCCUCUCUCCCACCCACUCAAGACAUUGUCAGGAACGUCUUAAGACCUCAGGAGACCACUUCUUUAGCAAGCAAUUUUUUUUAGAUGGAUUCUCACUCUGUCACUCAGGCUGGAGUGCAGUGGCGCGGUCUCUGCUCACUACACCCUCCCUCUCCUGGCUCCUGCCCGUAUGUAUUUCUCCUUCUCUCCAUGCCUGCUCUGUAGGGACCAUAGCCUCUGUCCCUGCAUACAUGUUGGACAUCAAUCACAUCAGUCCACCAAGUAACUUCAUCAAGCACCCAUGUACGCCCAGCACAGCGUCCCAAGGGUGCCCCACUUACCCACAGAAGAAGAAAGGCAACUUUGUAAGAGAUCUGACUUCUAGCUCCAGUUCUGUCUCUAGCUAACGUGAGAUGUACCCGUUUGAGGCCUGUUUUUUAAUUUUGAAAAUGAAGGACUGAACUUAGAUGGUCCAACUGAAAUGUUUUAAAAUGAUAUGAUUCUACCUUAAAAAGAGAAUGAAAUUCUGAUAUAUUUUCAACACAGGAAAACCUUGAAAACGUUAUGCUAAAUGAAAUAAGGCAGACAUGAAAGGACAAAUAUAUGAUUCCACUUAUGUGAUGUACCUCAAAUAGUCAAAUUCAUAGAGACAGAAAGUAGACAGUGGUUGCUAGGGGUUGCUGGAGGGGCAAUGGGGAGUUAGUGUUUAAUGGGUACAGUGUUUCAGUGGCUGCUCUGCCUAUGGAGUAGCCAUUCUUUUGUUUCUUUACUUCUCUAAUAAACUUGCUUUCACUUAAAAAGAAAAAGCUCUGGAGAUGGAUAGUGGUGGUGGUUGCACAGCAAUGUGAACGGACCUAAUGCAACUGAAUUAUACACUUUAAAAUGGUUAAGUAUACACUGGAAAAUGGUGAAUUUGCCGGGCGGGCGCAGUGGCUCACGCCUGUAAUCCCAACACUUUGGGAGGCCGAGGCGGGUG
rnacentral:lncRNA from 10 species